UUCUCAAAUUAGUUAGGUUUUUAACAUUAUCUGCAAGCGAUUUUUUUUUUCUUCACACACGCGCGAUCCUUACCUCUCGCCCUUCAACUUCAUAAUCACACCCCUUCUUCUGUUUGUAGAUUUUGCAAUCUUCUCAUCUCCGUUUGUAUGCUCCGUUGGAUGAGUUCGUUCGAUUAGCUUCAUCUUCGUUUUCAUCUGAAGGAACUUCUUCGUGAUGACUUUUCAUCUGGUGCCAUAUUUUUCAUUAUUGAUACUUGUGGGAUAAUUCAGGCAGCAUAUAGGUUUCUGAAAUUUGGUUCAUCCAUCCUUGCAUUCUGGUCAAAGAGCUCGGUAAUGGUGGAUGUUGGUUGUUUCUUGGGGUGAAUGGGCAUUGGAGCAUCUGUGCAAGUUUAUGAUUUACGUAACUUUGACAAACCAAUUCAGUCAAAGAAACAAUACAGCUGUACACAAUUGGGAUCUGUCGCUUCUAUUCCUUGUGCAAGUGUAACACCAAGCAUGCAGUCAAGUAACUAUGCUGCAAAAUUUUAUAGGAGCUUUUUCCAUCUAGAUUUGUAGUUGCGUUUCAGGGGAGGCCUGGCUCUUGGGAGUCUAUUCUCUUACGGGUACCCUUGUUGUCUUCAGCUGCAGUUGUAUUGUCUUCCUCUAGCUCCUAAGCCGCUAACUGAUAUUCCCACCUUAUGGAGGAGGCUAGAGUGAGGUAAGACCAUGAUUAGCUUUGAUGCAUUGGUGUCGUCAUCGUUGGUUGCGAGUUUUGGUUUUCUUGUUGGAAUAAAUUUCAACAUAUAGGGCCACACAUGUAAUUAUCAAAAUGUGUAGCCAUUGUUUAUAAUAGCAUAUAUAAAGUGAUCUAAUUUGGAAUUAAGGUUUUAAGGACUAAGGGGUAUAAUUGUCAUGGAAAUUAUUGCGUAGAGGCAAAAGUGAUAGUCAUCAUGGUGUUGAGAAACAUCUAUAAACACUACAAAGGAAGAACUUAUUUACUACUGUUCACUAGGAGAGUUUCAUACCAUGUGUGUUGGUCCACUAUAAGGCAAUGUGUGGGUUUUUUUGUUUUUGCUUUAUCUGAUUUUUUUUGGUCAUUUUUUCUACUUUUCUGAUCAUGAACCGUUGUUUUUUUCUCCCAUGUGAUGAAGGUCUAUUUUAAGCUUAUUAUGUGGUUACUUUAUGUUCCUUUAGUUGGUUGUAAAGAACUUUAUUUGCCUUUUUACCGCUUUUCUGAUUACUUUUCAUGUUUUUUUCAUCUUCUCUGGUAUCUAAUGUUACUUUUGAAGGAAAACUGAACUUUUGAGCAUACUUUUUGAUAGUUUUAACCCAUUAUAAUUCUUCUUCUCCGUCUAUUUAAUCCCUCCAACCACCCACAUUUCAAGCUUUUUGUUCAUCAUAGAAGAUUCUUGAAGCUUUCUCUGCUCUCUCAGCCACGAUGAUUUUUCCAGCUUCAACAAUGGUGUUUUCGGUUGGCAAUCGCCUCAUUCUUGCUCCACAACUUCAAUCUUUCACAUCUGGUUCAUGAUUUAUGUUCUCUGAUUUGGUAUCUGGUUCUGGUUUUCAACGCUGCCUCCAGAUUCGCGUUCUAAUCGCGAUUCAGAUUUGGGCAUUGGGAUUUUCGUUUCUUUUUUCUUCUUCACAACUUCCUGAUUGUGCCUGAUGAAAGAUCAAGCGAAUGCUUACUACCUUCAUCCUUCGGAUAAUCUUGGUUUGCUCGCACAUUGAGGAGGCUGCAUCCGGUGAUGUACAAUGCCAGAUGAUAGACAUGACGCAUCCAAGAGUUGUUCCAAUGCACAAGGUGAAUUUUGAUGCAAAGAUGGAGUAUGAUAAGAUCCAGAAUUACAAAAUUCUGCAGGACGUGUUCAACAAGCUGAAAAUUGACAAGAUCACAUAUUUUUUAUUAAUGCUUCCUUUUACCCUUCACUCAACACCAAUGUAUACUCUCAAGCAUGCACUGGCACACUACAAUUUUGGGAAUAAUCUCUUUAGGCAGGUUGUAUAAGGCUACAUUAGAAAUUAAGUAAAGGAGCUCCUCCCUUACACCAUCACGGAAGCCCUUUCCUACAAAAACUGCCCCGCCUUCAUCCACUGCACAUUGCAGCUAGACAAGGCAAUCAAGGUGUUGAACUUAUCGAACAAUACCAGUGGAGGAGAGGGAGAUUGUCUGGUGCUAGGGCAGUGGAGUCAAAACAACUAUGGGUCUGAUGAAACCCUGAUAUUAUUCAACAGAAAAAUGUACAGGAAACAGAUGAGUAUUCGAGAGACUCAUCACUCUCCUAAUUCCCAAUUCCCAAAUGAUCCCAAAGAUACUAAACCCUCUUUACACUCCCUUAUUUAUAGGCUAAGCCUUAACAAACUAACUAACUCUAUGGUAACUAACUAACUGACUCCAACUUCCAAGUACUCAUCAAUACUCGCCCCUAAACAUCCACCUUGUCCUCAAGGUGGAGUAAAAACAUAGAAAAGUAAACAUAGCAGAAAACAUGCAAAAUUGGGCCAAUGCUGCAUUCUUAGGCCCACUCGCAGUCCUUGGCCAGGUUGUUUUUUUUUUUGUGCCACCUCCUGCCAGGCUCCAACUCUUUCCAUGAAUGGAUUGGGCUUGGCCCAUUCGAAUUGGGAGGGGUUCAACUGGAGCCUUCUCACUCGGGCCCACUUCCCUCACGUGCCGAGCUUGAACCUCGCAAGGAGCCAGCGGCUGAUACCCAAACCCGUAUCUUCCCCACUUCAGUUUCCUUUCUUCCACCGCCGUAACUGCAGGGUCCGGUGGCUUCGCCGGCGGCCGUAAGGUGGUUACCGGCGUGCAACGUCUCUCCUCCUCGCGAAUCACAGGGCCUUGCCGAAGAUGAUAUGUGAACCACCGCCACGGUGGUUUGGCGAUUCCGCCACCGUUCGAUUGGCGACCUCCGAUGAACAAAGAAUUGAGGUUCCGCGGUCGAUUGACGGUUACCGCCUUGCGACGCCGUGAAUCAGGUGGUUUCCGCGGCUGCCUUCUCUUCCAAUCGAACCCUAGUUCAGUAAUUUGGGAAAAAACGGUUGAUUGAACCCUCUUCCUCCCUUGAAGGUUGCGAGUCUGCGAUUUCUCCCUUAGCGCACCUUCCUUCAACCUCUUGAUGAAGAUUUCCCCCUCGGCGUCGAUCUUCUCCCCUUUCGCCGUCAACGUGCAAUCGAUGAAAUCAACCACGGUGACCGGUUGACACCGUGACUCCUCCGCUGUUUGCUCCGUCUCAGAAUUCUCCGGCGAAUAUGGCUUGAUCUCUGAUUUCGCCAACCGCACUGAAUUGGCCUCAGGUUUGGCUUCCACCACAACAGUUCUUCGUUCUGCCUCCAAGACUUCUUGCUUCCUAGGGAUUUCUUCCUCCUCUGAAUCUUGGACUGGUUCUGGCAUGUACGGUUCCAAUUCUGGUUCGAAUCUCCUCAACAGAGCCUCCACAAAUUCCCACCAUGUUGCCUUUUGAUUGCGUCUUCUCCAGCAAAACCACCACAUGAAAGCUUCACCAGUCAAAGCCUUCUCUGCCUCUAAGAAUUUCUCCUCUGCGGAUACUCCCUUGGACUCACAAUGUUGCUCCACCAUGAUGAGCCAUCCGUAGGCCUCCCUUCCAUCAAAUUCUGGAAACAUCUUCGCGAAUUGAUGGCAAUCACAGCACCUAGAUCGGUGCUCUGAUACCAAUUGAUGAAACCCUGAUAUUAUUCAACAGAAAAAUGUACAAGAAAAAGAUGAGUAUUCGAGAGACUCAUCACUCUCCUAAUUCCCAAUUCCCAAAUGAUCCCAAAGAUACUAAACCCUCUUUACACUCCCUUAUUUAUAGGCUAAGCCUUAACAAACUAACUAACUCUAUGGUAACUAACUAACUGACUCCAACUUCCAAGUACUCAUCAGGGUCAUUGUGACAAGUAAGACACAUAAGGUGAAGUAGAAAAAGCUAAAACUAAGAUAUGGUCUUCAAAAUCAGAACUGAGAUCACAGUUUUCCUUCUUAAAGUCUGCAUAUGAAUUUCUCUUUUCUCCAACUAAUGUACUUCUUCUAUCAAUUUUAUAACUCACUCAAUGAUGAUGUGAUCCAUUUUUGUUGUUAUAAUGUUAUGUAUCUGUCUGGUGUCUCUGCUUGCCAUUUUCUAUUUUAGAAAGUCACAAUAUCUUACUUUUAUUUAGAUUACUUUGUAGGCUUAAUAAAACUUGAUGCGAAAAUGACAGUUGGCUGCAGCAGUAAGAGAGUUUUAUACCACGUGUGUUGGUCCACCAUAAGGCACCGUGCGGUUUUCUUUUUUGGUUACUUUAUGUUACUUUAGUGGGUUGUAAUGAACUUUAUUUGCCUUUCCACCGCUUUUCUACUUUUUCUGAAAUGAAACUUACCCUUCAUUGUUCUCCUUAGUUUGAUAUGUGUUAUUAAUUUUUGUGUUUAUGUAGUUUGUGGCUGAUGGCUUUUCUCUUCGCUCGGCUGAACGAGGUUCUGACCCGAAAGCUUGCUGAGGAGUGAGGACAGAUACUCGGGUGUGGAGGUUAGGGUCACUCCAGCGAAAACUGAGAUCAUCAUCAGAGCCACUCGAACCCAGGCCGUUCUAGACUUCUAGGUGAGAAGGGAAGGAGAAUUAGGGAGCUUACCUUAGUGGUAUCGAAGAGGUUCAAGUUUCCUGAAAACAGUGUAGAACUCUAUGCUGAAAAGGUCAACAACAGGGGCCUUUGUGCUAUUGCCCAAGCGGAGUCCCUCCGCUACAAGCUCCUUGGUGGCCUAGCUCUUUUUACUGUUUUUGUUCUAGGCUCUGAAGAAUAGAAUAUGAACACUUGCUUUGAGCAUACAAUACGAAACUGUAUUGCCCUUCUAUGCUAAAGUUUUCACCAAGUGACCCAACCAAAUUAUUGGUGGCUUCUGCUGACUCACAUGUCUUUAUACGUUCCAGAAUGGAUGUCAUCUACAAAUUCGAAGGCCUAAAAAUUGCAGGUCAGAUGCAAGCUUCCUUCACCUCUGAUGGGAAACAAUGUCUCAGUUAGCGAGGGUUCAAUUCAAAUGUUGUAUUUGGAACUUCCCUUUCGUUUGUUGCUGCUGGUUCUAUUGCUUGCUGCUGGUUUUUUUGCUCUUCUGCAGCCUUAGUUCCUUUGCCGCACUUUCUGUUUUUCUUUCUACUGGUUCGCGUUUUCGCGUCCUGUUUCUUUAUAAUUGGGUUUGUAGCACCCAUAAUGCUACAAUUCAUUUAUUCAUUGGCCUUUCAGAAAAAAUAUUGGCCAUGACAGGAAUACUUCCAAAACAAAGAUAUUUUGGUUUUGAGUCAAUGCCAGGAACAAAGUUGUUGCA